AAUCAAGAGUGCCAACAUAAAAGCCCUGGCUUGUUGACCGGCAACCCUCUCACGGUAGUGGGGUGCUCCAGGUGAUGAUUCGGCCUUCCGGGACCUCGGAGGCAAAUACCGCAC
rnacentral:ncRNA from 2 species